rnacentral:rRNA from 1 species
CGGCGGACGGCUGAGUAACGCGUGAGAACAUACCCUAAAGUGAGGGAUAACUACUCGAAAGAGUGGCUAAUACCGCAUGUGAUCUUCGGAUUAAAGCAUUUAUGCGCUUUAGGAAUGGCUUGCGUACGAUUAGAUAGUUGGUGAGGUAAAGGCUCACCAAGUCGACGAUCGUUAGAUGGUUUGAGAGGAUGAUCAUCCAGACUGGGACUGAGACACGGCCCAGACUCCUACGGGAGGCAGCAG